GUUUACCAUCUGGUGAAUGAUCACAGCUUGCGGGCCGGGGGAGGGACCAAGAGGUCACCUGUUCAGCCUGCUUGCCAGUCCC